GACCUUCCUUCCAUGCUUCCUCCACCGGUUCAAGAGUUCCCGCCAAUUUUGCCUCCACCGGCUCAAGACCUUCCUUCAAUGUUUCCUCCACCGGCUCAAGAGUUGCCUCCACCGGUUCAAGACUUUCCACAGAUUUUACCUCCACCGGCUCAAGAGUUCCCGCCAGUUUUGCCUCCACCGGUUCAAAACUUUCCACAGAUUUUACCUCCACCGGUUCAAGAAUUUCCGCCGAUUCUACCACCACCGGUUCAAGACUUCCCACCGGUUUUCUCAACACCACCAAUCCUACAAGAUCCACCAACAGAACCAAUAUUCUCCACGCCACCA
rnacentral:lncRNA from 1 species